ensembl:lncRNA
UUAGAUGUGUCUCUUGAAUCUUCUUUAAAUAGUGCUGUGGUUGAACCUGGCAGGCAUCUCAGCACAACACAGAAAUUCACUCACUUCCCCCUGACAGUGGGAAUGGAGAGAAAAUUGGAAACAAAAUAGGUCCAUUUGUUUUGUAUGAACAUAUCAGGAACAAGAAAGAAAUCUUCAGUAUUUUACCUAAUUGAUGUUUCACACAUUUAAAUGUUCUCUUUUAGGUAAGAAAAUCAGAGAAUUAUAGAUUGGUUUAAGUUGGAAAAGACUGGCAUAGGCAGGUACAUCUUCCUCUAGACCAAGUUGGCCAAAGACCCAUAGAAACUGCUCUUGAACACUGGGAUGGGGCACCCAUAGCUUCUCUAGGCAUCCUGUUCCUGUGCCUCACCACCCUCUGUAUAAAGAAUUUCUUGCUUAUGUUUGGCAUAAAUCUACCCUCUUCUACUGUAAAAUCAUUACCCCUUAUCCUUCUACUAUACUCCCUAACAGAUUCCCCCCUCAUCUUUCCUGUAGGCCCCUCUAAGUACUGGAAGGCCUCUGUAAGGUCUCCUUGGAGCCUUUUCUUCUCCAGGAUGAACAAUCUCUCAGCUUUUCUUCAUCACAGAAGUACUCUAGCCCUCUGAUCAACCUCAAGGCCUUCUUCUGGACAAGGUUACCAGUUUCCAGAGAUGAACACAGUAUUCUAGGUGGGGUAUCAUGAAAAUGUUUUGGAGGUUUGUCAUACUAACAACAUCAAUAAGAUACAAGGAAGAAAACAGGAGAAAAACCAUGUCUUAUUGGACUAAGUAUCCAUUUUAUUUAGGAAUUUAGCUGCUGCUUCUACGUGUGGCUUUGAAAGACAUACAACUGAGGUACAAAAAUUGGUAUUUUUCUUUAAUGAAUAUACUUGUUUUGAAACAAAAUGUUUUGUAUUAUUUAGAAGGUUUUUUAUUAUUUAUAAUAUUUAUAUUAAAAUAUUAUUUAUUUUUAUUUUUAUUUUAUUUUAUUUUGAUCAUUCAUUAUUUCUUUGAGGGGGAAGAGUGCAUAUUUAUUUACAGCUUUUCUGGUAGAGUUUGGAAAUAAAAACUAUUUAACUUUUAACUUUAAAUUUAUAUACCUACAGGAAAAGAAACCACCAAAACAAAAACAGUCCUUUUUUCCCUCCUUUGCAACAGUAGACAGUUUUCCUCCUUCAUAACUUACCAGUGGAAUGCAAAGUUAACUAAUUAAACAAA